rnacentral:tRNA from 1 species
UGGCUCAGUUGGUAGAGCAUGGCACUUGCAAUGUCAAAGGUUGUGGGUUUGAUUCCUGC